UACAGAGGGGGGCAAGCGUUUAUUCGGAAUUAUUGGGCGUAAAGGGCGCGUAGGCGGCUUGGCAAGUGGAUGGUGAAAUCCCUCGGCUUAACCGAGGAACUGCCGUCCAAACUGCUUCGCUUGAGACCGGGAGAGGUGAGUGGAAUUCCCAGUGUAGCGGUGAAAUGCGUAGAUAUUGGGAGGAACACCAGUGGCGAAGGCGGCUCACUGGACCGGUACUGACGCUGAUGCGCGAAAGCGUGGGGAGGCAACAGGGG
rnacentral:rRNA from 1 species